rnacentral:rRNA from 1 species
UGGGGAAUAUUGCACAAUGGGCGCAAGCCUGAUGCAGCCAUGCCGCGUGUGUGAAGAAGGCCUUCGGGUUGUAAAGCACUUUCAGCGGGGAGGAAGGCGUUAAGGUUAAUAACCUUGGCGAUUGACGUUACCCGCAGAAGACGCACCGGCUAACUCCGUGCCAGCAGCCGCGGUAAUACGGAGGGUGCAAGCGUUAAUCGGAAUUACUGGGCGUAAAGCGCACGCAGGCGGUCUGUCAAGUCGGAUGUGAAAUCCCCGGGGUCAACCUGGGAACUGCAUUCGAAACAGGCAGGCUAGAGUCUUGUAGAGGGGGGUAGAAGUCCAGGUGUAGCGGUGAAAUGCGUAGAGAGCUGGAGGAAUAACGGUAGCGAAGGCGGCCCCCUGGACAAAGACUGACGCUCAGGUGCGAAAGCGUGGGGAGCAAACAGG